rnacentral:rRNA from 1 species
GAGUUGUAAUCUAGAGAAGCGUCUUCCGUGCUGGACCGUGUACAAGUCUCCUGGAAGGGAGCGUCAUAGAGGGUGAGAAUCCCGUCUUUGACACGGACUACCAGUGCUAUGCGAUGCGCUCUCGACGAGUCGAGUUGUUUGGGAAUGCAGCUCAAAACGGGUGGUAAAUUCCAUCUAAAGCUAAAUACAGGCGAGAGACCGAUAGCGAACAAGUACCGUGAGGGAAAGAUGAAAAGAACUUUGGAAAGAGAGUUAAACAGUACGUGAAAUUGCUGAAAGGGAAACGCUUGAUGUCAGUCACGUCGGCCAGGGAUCAACCUUGCUUCUCGCUGGGUGCACUUCCUGCUCGACGGGUCAGCAUCAGUUUCCGUCGCCGUACAAUGGUGCAAGGAAUGUGGCACUCUUCGGAGUGUGUUAUAGCCUUUCGUCGUAUGCGGUGGUAGGGACUGAGGGAACUCAGCACGGCUUCACAGCUUGUGCUUAGGAUGCUGGCAUAAUGGCCUUAAGCGACCCGUCUUGAAACACGGACCAAGGAGUNUAACAUGCCUGCGAGUGUUUGGGUGCCAAACUCGAGCGCGAAAUGAAAGUGAAAGUUGAGAUCUCUGUCAUGGAGAGCAUCGACGCCCGGACCAGAGUCUUUGACAACGGAUCUGCGGUAGAGCAUGUAUGUUGGGACCCGAAAGAUGGUGAACUAUGCCUGAAUAGGGU